GCCAAUGUAUUGUAGUGGUUUGAGUGUUAGACUAUGACUCUGGGGACCAAGGUUCGAAUCCUUGCUCUGUUA